AGAACACUGCUCAACUUUGGCUUCUGGUCAUACAGGGGAUUGAACCUGGCACUUUGGAGCCUCAGGCAUGAGAGUCUCUUAGAAUUUUGAGAGCUUUUCACCUGCUUGAAGAACAUCAGAUUGUAUACUUGCCCUUGAGUGGAGUGCCCCUCAUGAUUCUUGAGAAGGACAAGGAAGUUGACAGGCUGCUGAACCUGGGUCUCCCUUCCCCCGUGAAGAUGUUCACCCCACUGUGGGAAUCUGAUAGAUUCCAGUGUCCUUCAAUCAUUCUGUCAACCCUGGAUGUUGAAUUGCCACCUAUUUGCUAUGACUGAACUAUUUAAACUUGACACUUUGUGGUU